UACGUAGGCAGCAAGCGUUGUUCGGAGUUACUGGGCGUAAAGAGUGCGUAGGCGGUUUCGUAAGUUUGGUGUGAAAUCUCCCGGCUUAACUGGGAGGGUGCGCCGAAAACUGCGGGGCUGGAGUGUGGGAGAGGUAAGCGGAAUUCCUGGUGUAGCGGUGAAAUGCGUAGAUAUCAGGAGGAACACCGGUGGCGAAGGCGGUUCUCUGGGCCUGUACUGACGCUGAGGAACGAAAGCGUGGGGAGCGAACAGG
rnacentral:rRNA from 1 species